CGUCUGGAAACGGACGCUAAUACCGCAUAAUGUCUACGGACCAAAGAUUUAUCGCCCAGAGAUCAGCCCGCGUCUGAUUAGGUAGUUGGUAGGGUAAUGGCCUACCAAGCCUACGAUCAGUAGCUGGUCUGAGAGGAUGAUCAGCCACACUGGAACUGAGACACGGUCCAGACUCCUACGGGAGGCAGCAGUUAGGAAUAUUGGACAAUGGGGGAAACCCUGAUCCAGCCAUGCCGCGUGUGUGACGAAGGCCUUAGGGUUGUAAAGCACUUUCGGCUGUGAAGAUAAUGACAGUAGCAGAAGAAGAAG
rnacentral:rRNA from 1 species